UGGUUCUGGCAUCGAUGAAGAACGCAGCGAAAUGCGAUAAGUAAUGUGAAUUGCAGAAUUCAGUGAAUCAUCGAAUCUUUGAACGCACAUUGCGCCCCUUGGUAUUCCGGGGGGCAUGCCUGUUCGAGCGUCAUUACAACCCUCAAGCCUGGCUUGGUAUUGGGCUUCGCCACUAACCUGGCGGGCCUUAAAAUCAGUGGCGGUGCCUCCGAGGCCCUGAGCGCAGUAAAUAUCCUCGCUAUAGGGACCCGGUGGUUACUGGCCAGCAACCCCAACUUUCUAAGUUUGACCUCGGAUCAGGUAGGGAUACCCGCUGA
rnacentral:misc_RNA from 1 species